rnacentral:rRNA from 1 species
GACGAACGCUGGCGGCGUGCUUAACACAUGCAAGUCGUACGGUAAGGCCCUUUCGGGGGUCCACGAGUGGCGAACGGGUGAGUAACACGUGAGUAACCUGCCCACAACUUUGGGAUAACGCUAGGAAACUGGUGCUAAUACUGGAUAUGUGCUCCUGCUGCAUGGUGGGGGUUGGAAAGCUCCGGCGGUUGUGGAUGGACUCGCGGCCUAUCAGCUUGUUGGUGGGGUAGUGGCCUACCAAGGCGGCGACGGGUAGCCGGCCUGAGAGGGUGACCGGCCACAUUGGGACUGAGAUACGGCCCAGACUCCUACGGGAGGCAGCAGUGGGGAAUAUUGCACAAUGGGCGCAAGCCUGAUGCAGCAACGCCGCGGGCGGGAUGACGGCCUUCGGGUUGUAAACCGCUUUCAGCAGGGACGAAGCUUUUUGUGACGGUACCUGCAGAAGAAGCACCGGCUAACUACGUG